ensembl:lncRNA
UUCUCAAACUUAAGCGUGCAUCAGAAUCACCUGGAGGGCUUGUUCAAACGCAGAUCGCCGGUCCCUUCUCCCAGAGUUUCCGACUCAGGAGGUGGGGCCAGAGAAUCUGCAUUUCUAACAAGUUCCAGACGUUCUAAUGCCAUUGGAAUACAUUUUAAGAACUUCUGCUUUAGAGGGAACUCCGGACCGAUCUCAGCUUCCCAGAGAAACGACCUCCGCAAAGAGAACUGGAAACUCCAAGGCAAUCCAAGGCCCGGCAUUUUUACAACAGACCGCAGAGGAGGGAGAGCAAAGUUGCUCAGCUACGGCUAGCUCACUGCCGCGAAGGAACAGGAGCUCAUUGGAAAUCAAGAUUUUCGUUUGAAUUUUCCCGAUGUUUAAGCGUUGGGACAAAGUCCAAGGCCUUGGAAUCUGAGUGGAGCAGCACCGCACUGCCCGCGAACUCCCUGCGCUGGGGUCAGAACUAGCGUCUUUGCCCUACCCUGCGGAAGUCAGAACCGCCCUGAGCCGCGUCGUGAGUCGGAAAAUGCGUCUUAGAAAAACCCUCCAGGAGAGGAGCCGCUGGGGGACCACAGCGUGGGGGUAAAAGAUUUUAGGAUAUCCGCAGCACAGAGUGGGAGAGGCUCGGGUUCAACUCCAGGGAAAGUCUGUCUGACACCUGCUCGCUGCUUAACUGGCAGAGCCCUCUGGGUGGGCCGGCGGGGAAAGGGCCUACGCUGCGGGCCCCCUCCUCCUCCAGCUCCUCCGCGUUUCUUCUCCCAGAUCUUCAUCCGGUCCUCCAGGGUAAUAAACUUUCGGCGGUUCGAGUUUGGGUAGCAACUGGUCGCGCGCCCUCGUCAGUGUGUUAGCCAUUUCCCUGGAAGCGUCCUUGGUGUCGAAAGCCCAGAGCCGCGAGGAAGCAGAUGACCGAGUCGGCGGAAAUGUCCGAGUGAACCAGCAGCGCAGCUCUCGGAUGGCGCACUGGGAGGGGGACAGCUGAGCACAGACUCAGUGCCCUGAGCGCAGCUGGGUCCUGUAGGCUCUGGGACUUCCCUCUCCUCACACCCAGACCCCGCAACUCGCCGUGGGCCCAGUGGCCUGUCUUCCAUGCCGGCCGUUGGCGCCCGGGGUGUCCGACCGACUGUGCUGCUCCUAGGUGGGCCCCCACAAUGCGUGCGCUCUAGACGCCAGCGUAGGCAAGGGAAGUUUCCUGGGCUGAGAGUGGAGAAACUCAACGGUCCCUCCCGGGCGGGCGCUGAGGCGCCGUGAGAGCACUGCAUGCAACGCCGCGCCGCGCUCAGCCUGGGUCUCCCUUUGGCCGUGGGGCACGCACCUGCCCUCUGCAGCAGCCAGGCUUGGACUCUGCCGAGGGGCUGCCCGGCCACGCGGCUUCCCCCAAAGCCUGGAGCUCGCCGACUCUUCCCUACCUUUCAAAGACCGCAGCGCUCGGGCCAGCGUGGCCCAGACUCCACUGUGGAACUUCGGAGGCUGGGGUGGGCGAAGUAAACACGUUUAUGGAAAAACCUGGGCUCAGGAGGUUUGCGGAAAGAGGGCUCAGCUCGUAGGUGGUUGGAAAUUCCGUCCACCCUGCGAGAAAAGCAGGCGGUUCCGCACACAACAUAUAUACACACGCGCACACACAGGGUGGGAAGGUGUGAAGCCCGCUGCUCGGGAGUUGCCCCCACUUUGAUGAAAAGGAAAUACGAAGCGUAGGAACAACUCUUCAGGUCACCACCCCGGGACUGUGUGUCCUGGAGGUCUGAAAGAAGAGAAAGUUCCCUCCAAAUCUUCCAAAUUGAGAAAAGCUGCGGAAGGAAUGAGGCGGUUAGAGAGAGGGGACCGCAAGCAUCCCCGUAGCUGGGGCUCAGGACUGAGCGCUAAAAUGAAACCACCCCUGUAGAUCCCACUAGGGAAAAUGUCUUUUUAAAACCCUUGAACUCUUAGGCAUUCUGCUACUUCCAUGCUUGUCAAAUCUACUUUGAAGCAGUUAAAUAAUGAAGGAUAUUAAACACUCUGGUCUCCGUUCCAAACUCACUCUUUAAUCUUUGCGAAUUUGAAAUUAGAAGGAAAGGAAAAGAAGAUCUGCUAUCCCUGAAUUAUGUUUUACCAAAGGAACGAAAAAUUCUAUACACUUCAGCAUAAAUAAAAUAGAAGGAAUUUUAUCUUAAUAAAAUAAUAUCUCGUAGCUUCCACCUGGCUCCCCAAUCACUGGUUAAUAACCUUUUGACAGUUUUUAGCCUUCUGCUUAUAUUUGUCCACUUAUAUUUGUUCACGAUGGAGAUUAUUUUAAUUGUCCUUCGGGGCGGCACAUCCAAAGCCACCUUUUGGCGGAAUACUUUUGAAUUAUACAGCCUCUUGGCUGCAAGAUCUGCGCCCCUCAAAGGGAGGACUUGCUGGGGGGGCGGAGGGCCAAGCCAAAUCCCCUCUGGCGUCUCGUCUGGGACGAAGGGCGUUUUGCUCAGGGUUGCUCACGAAUAUGUCUUCUAGGAAAAGGCUGUUUAAAAUGAGCGUGUGUUAUUCCUUUCUGUCACUCGGUCACCCUACUUCCAGAGUAGCUGAAGUGCGUUCUGCAAGUACGCUCACACAGGACCAAACUUUUAGAAGAACCUGAAAAAUGUAUCACUACACUUCAGAUUCAAUUAAGUUUCCUGGCAACGGAACAAUGAACUCUACUUUUGCUAGGAAUGAAGAUGUUCAUGUUUUGAGAAGCUAGAAUCGUAUUUUCCUGAAUUUUUAAAAUGAUUAUUCUUCACCCAUUCCAGAUGGAUGCUUUAUUGCUUGCCAAUGGGUUGCAGAUAACCACCUCUUCAACCAAGUUGGUUAACUGCUUAUGAAAUCUACAUUGGCUCAUUAAAGCUUAAAUAUUGGAACAAAUUUC